AUUGAACGCUGGCGGCAUGCUUUACACAUGCAAGUCGAGCGGCAGCGCGGGGGCAACCCUGGCGGCGAGCGGCGAACGGGUGAGUAAUGCAUCGGAACGUACCCUGGAGUGGGGGAUAACGCCGCGAAAGCGGCGCUAAUACCGCAUAUGCUCUGAGGAGGAAAGUGGGGGACCUGCAAGGGCCUCACGCUCUGGGAGCGGCCGAUGUCCGAUUAGCUAGUUGGUGGGGUAAAGGCUUACCAAGGCGACGAUCGGUAGCUGGUCUGAGAGGAUGAUCAGCCACACUGGGACUGAGACACGGCCCAGACUCCUACGGGAGGCAGCAGUGGGGAAUUUUGGACAAUGGGGGCAACCCUGAUCCAGCCAUGCCGCGUGAGUGAAGAAGGCCUCGG
rnacentral:rRNA from 1 species